rnacentral:rRNA from 1 species
GUCGGCAGGCUACACAUGCAGUCGAGCGGUAGCACAGAGAGCUUGCUCUCGGGUGACGAGCGGCGGACGGGUGAGUAAUGUCUGGGAAACUGCCUGAUGGAGGGGGAUAACUACUGGAAACGGUAGCUAAUACCGCAUAACGUCGCAAGACCAAAGUGGGGGACCUUCGGGCCUCAUGCCAUCAGAUGUGCCCAGAUGGGAUUAGCUAGUAGGUGGGGUAAUGGCUCACCUAGGCGACGAUCCCUAGCUGGUCUGAGAGGAUGACCAGCCACACUGGAACUGAGACACGGUCCAGACUCCUACGGGAGGCAGCAGUGGGGAAUAUUGCACAAUGGGCGCAAGCCUGAUGCAGCCAUGCCGCGUGUAUGAAGAAGGCCUUCGGGUUGUAAAGUACUUUCAGCGAGGAGGAAGGCGUUAAGGUUAAUAACCUUAGCGAUUGACGUUACUCGCAGAAGAAGCACCGGCUAACUCCGUGCCAGCAGCCGCGGUAAUACGGAGGGUGCAAGCGUUAAUCGGAAUUACUGGGCGUAAAGCGCACGCAGGCGGUCUGUCAAGUCGGAUGUGAAAUCCCCGGGCUCAACCUGGGAACUGCAUUCGAAACUGGCAGGCUAGAGUCUUGUAGAGGGGGGUAGAAUUCCAGGUGUAGCGGUGAAAUGCGUAGAGAUCUGGAGGAAUACCGGUGGCGAAGGCGGCCCCCUGGACAAAGACUGACGCUCAGGUGCGAAAGCGUGGGGAGCAAACAGGAUUAGAUACCCUGGUAGUCCACGCCGUAAACGAUGUCGACUUGGAGGUUGUGCCCUUGAGGCGUGGCUUCCGGAGCUAACGCGUUAAGUCGACCGCCUGGGGAGUACGGCCGCAAGGUUAAAACUCAAAUGAAUUGACGGGGGCCCGCACAAGCGGUGGAGCAUGUGGUUUAAUUCGAUGCAACGCGAAGAACCUUUACCUACUCUUGACAUCCAGAGAACUUAGCAGAGAUGCUUUGGUGCCUUCGGGAACUCUGAGACAGGUGCUGCAUGGCUGUCGUCAGCUCGUGGUUGUGAAAUGUUGGGUUAAGUCCCGCAACGAGCGCAACCCUUAUCCUUUGUUGCCAGCGGUCCGGCCGGGAACUCAAAGGAGACUGCCAGUGAUAAACUGGAGGAAGGUGGGGAUGACGUCAAGUCAUCAUGGCCCUUACGAGUAGGGCUACACACGUGCUACAAUGGCAUAUACAAAGAGAAGCGACCUCGCGAGAGCAAGCGGACCUCAUAAAGUAUGUCGUAGUCCGGAUUGGAGUCUGCAACUCGACUCCAUGAAGUCGGAAUCGCUAGUAAUCGUAGAUCAGAAUGCUACGGUGAAUACGUUCCCGGGCCUUGUACACACCGCCCGUCACACCAUGGGAGUGGGUUGCAAAAGAAGUAGGUAGCUUAACCUUCGGGAGGGCGCUUACCACUU